AUGCGUGAUCAGGUCGGCAUCGACCUGGACGGCUUCCCCCUCGACCAUGAGUUCCCGGACGACUAUGGGCUAGAGGAAGAGGACGAGUGCGACAUCGAAGUGGAGCCUUUGUUCGAGGACAAGCUCGCCAACCAAGCCGCCGGUCCUAAGCCAAAGCGCAAGAGCAAGUGCACGAAGGCGUACACAGCUGCCGAGGACAAGCUUCUUUGCGAGUGUUGGCGAGACAUGGACAAGACCCAAAGACGGGCGCCGAGCAAAAGCAUUCGACCUUUUGGACUCGUGUGCACCGCGAGUUUCAUGAGCGCAAGAAGUUUACACCUUACCAAUUUGUGA
rnacentral:rRNA from 1 species